GCAGGCGUGGUGGAAUUGGUAGACACGCUAGAUUUAGGAUCUAGUGCCGCAAGGUGUGUGAGUUCGAGUCUCUCCGCCUGCA
rnacentral:tRNA from 1 species